CCUGACUGCUAUCGGGAUGAGGCUAAGCCAUGGAAGUCGACGUGCGCCCUUGCGCACGUGGCGUACGGCUCAGUAACGCGUGGCUAACCUGCCCUCGCGACGGGAAUAACCUCGGGAAACUGAGGAUAAUUCCCGAUAGGCGAAGGGUUUUGGAAGAACCCUUCACCCAAAGGGAUGGGGAAAAUGGACCUCAUCCGCGCGAGGAUGGGGCUGCGUCCCAUCAGGCAGUUGGUGGGGUAAUGGCCCACCAAACCUAUAACGGGUACGGGCCGUGAGAGCGGGAGCCCGGAGAUGGGCACUGAGACAAGGGCCCAGGCUCUACGGAGCGCACCAAGCGCGAAACCUUCGCGAUGCGGGAAACCGUGACGGGGCCAUCCCGAGUGCGGGCCGCUGAGGCCCGCUUUUGCUCAGUGUAAGAAGCUGGGCGAAUAAGUGGGGGGCAAGACUGGUGUCAGCCGCCGCGGUAAUACCAGCUCCCCGACUGGUCGGGACGAUUAUUGGGUCUAAAGCGUCCGUAGCCGGCCCUGUAUGUGAUCCGUUAAAUCCAGCGGCUCAACCGCUGGGCUGCGGAUCAUACUAUGGGGCUAGGGGACGGGAGAGGCCGGAGGUACUCCGCGGGUAGGGGUAAAAUCCGCUGAUCCGCGGAAGACUAACAGUGGCGAAGGCGUCCGGCCAGAACGCGCCCGACGGUGAGGGACGAAAGCCAGGGGAGCGAACCGGAUUAGAUACCCGGGUAGUCCUGGCCGUAAACGAUGCCCGCUAGGUCUUGGUGAAGCUUAGGGUUUCAUCAGGGCCGCAGGGAAGCCGUUAAGCGGGCCACCUGGGGAGUACGGCCGCAAGGCUGAAACUUAAAGGAAUUGGCGGGGGAGCACCACAAGGGGUGGAGCCUGCGGCUCAAUUGGAGUCAACGCCGGGAACCUCUACCGGGGGCGACAGCAGGAUGACGGCCAGGCUAACGACCUUGCCCGACGCGCUGAGGGGAGGUGCAUGGCCGUCGCCAGCUCGUGCUGUGAAGUGUCCUGUUAAGUCAGGCAACGAGCGAGACCCCCGCCCCUAGUUGCGACCCUGCGGGCGACCGCGGGGGCACACUAGGGGGACUGCCGCCGCUAAGGCGGAGGAAGGAGGGGGCCACGGCAGGUCAGCAUGCCCCUAAACCCCCGGGCUGCACGCGGGCUACAAUGGCGGGGACAGCGGGAUCCGACCCCGAAAGGGGGAGGCAAUCCCUGAAACCCCGCCGUAGUUGGGAUCGGGGGCUGAAACUCGCCCCCGUGAACCUGGAAUCCCUAGUAACCGCGCGUCACCAUCGCGCGGUGAAUACGUCCCUGCCCCUU
rnacentral:rRNA from 1 species